CAUUGUUUUGUACUCUUGACAACUGAAGUCUGAUUACAAUUAAUAAAAUUCUAUAAAAGAAACUGCCGACGCAAAAGGGAACAUCUUUGUUAAAUGAUCCCAGUAAAUGAACACCUCAGAAGUAGACUCAAUAAUAUCAUGAGACGUGUCUUGCCACCCAAGAGUUGCCUCUUUGAUAAUAUGCCCCAAUAUCCUCAUAAAGCAGCAGCAGCCUUGACAUUCAGAAUGAGCUGUAGGAAGUAUUUCCUACCUGCAGCAUGUGAGCUUGAAACAGUUAGGGGCAAACCUCAAAACUGAGCCAGCUGGCUCUUGCGGCAGAUCACAAGACAGAUCACAGAACCUUCUGCAGUCCUGGUUACCUUUCUCUACGAGCUUGAAAGCUUGGAACCGCUCCAGAAUAGACAUUUUCUCUUGUGCUGCUGGGGCUACCUUGGACCUAGCUCCUAGGCCCCUGUCUUCAAGAAGCAAUUACUCUAAGCCAUGAAGCAUACUCUGUCCUCACCAGUGUCUUCCAUAUUUCUCUCUGUUGGGGAAUUAAAUACGUAGUUCUUCCUUUCUGCCUUUCCCCUAAGCUACCUCUGUGGGUCCACAAGAGACUUGGUAGUAGAGUGAGAAUGGCUACAUGUGAGAACAAAUGUGGAUUUGCUGGAGCCUGGUAACUGACUCAAGCCUGAAAGAGCCCUGCCUAGUUUGAGAUCUUUCAGACUGGUGAUGCAGCCCUGGAGGAUCUAGGAAGUCAGUAGGCCAGUGUGAAGCUAUUGGUAUUAAAACUAUAUGAGCAUGCUGUUUUUAUGAUGAAAAAUCUGUGUUCUCAUAUGCGCAAAAACAUCAAUAGUCAUGUAUCCAACUUUUUCACUAAGUGAGAUAUUCAUGGGGUUCACCUCUUUCAG
rnacentral:lncRNA from 1 species